GUUCCACACAGCCAGUAAAAUGGACAGGAAGGUCUUUAGAGGCUGUUUUUGUGCCGCUGGGGGCCAGAAUGAGCUGACAAAUGUUUGAGAGCAAUGCAGAGCUGCGCUCUUGAAAUCUUCAUCACCUGCGAAGUUGCCUGAGCAGCGCUCACAAAUCCAUGUUGUUGUGUCGCCCCCUACAGGACAGACGCAACCUGCACUACCUGGAGCACAGGAACACGUUGCAAAAAUCACAAUCGGAGGCCUUGUAUUAGGCGGGUUUGUGGGGAUUUGUGAGAACAAUGCUGCUGUUGAGUGCAGUCACGGGGGUUAAACUCCCUCCCGUGGACGCUUCUCUCGGCCUGUGAGCCCCAACAAUGAGCUGGGCGGAAGAUCUACCGGCAGUCCCGACUGUGCUGCUUCCACUGAGAGCCGCCCGAGAGCCCAGCGUGUCUUUAUCGGUGAUCUUUAAUCCCUCAUUCAUCCGUGGAGCCCCGUCCGAUGCGUCCCUCAGUGGCUGCUCAUGCACGGAUCGACUCUGUCUCAGAAGUUUCUCCUGAAACUGCAAAAAGUUUUAUCUUCUGUAUUUUUGUCUUGUGUUCCAGUACAUAUAUUGUAAAAUCCGGAUGCAUUUACUUGAGAAGCAAAACUGUAUGAGAUAUUAAGUCUGGUUUUCUGAAAGAAAAAAAUCUGUAAAUUUUUGCAUAAAACAAGUUUUUUUUUUUCUUCUUCUAUGAAUUAAGUUGAUUUUUCUGAU
ensembl:lncRNA